rnacentral:lncRNA from 1 species
UGUGGCUGUAUAUACAAAAAAAACGGUUAGUUGAUACGAUAUUUCACAUUAUUAUUUCCUUGAAAGAGGGUUGCUGCCUACAUGAAUGCUAUCAAACUGCUGCCUACCAGUGGCGUAGCUAUGUCUUUUUUACGUGUACGCCAGAACCUUGGUGGUUCCAAGCAGGUCUAUUUCAUAGCAUUCACCCCGGGGAUUUUGACGAACUAUUGAGAAAGAAAUAUCAUUCCUAUCAUUAAAAAUGUUGUUAAGGUGCAAUAUGAGAGUUCGUUAAGGGUUUUGCAAAAGCUGAAUCAGGCAGUUAUCAGUUCUUGUGUUAAUUUACGUUUUUGAUUGAGUUUAGCCUUCCAAUUGAUAUUGUAUCGUGUGUUUUUCUAUGCUGUGAUGUUAUACUAUUGUCUCAGUAAAAGGCAGAAGGUUUG